rnacentral:misc_RNA from 1 species
ACUCUUGAGUUAAUCUAAAGGCAAUAGGGAAAAAAACCUGAAAGGAAAACCAAAGAUGCAGUGGAAGAAGAGAUCGCGUGAGUCAACGGCUCUAAAGUAAUUGGAUAAGCCUUUCAUGUCUUCCAAAUGUGAGUUGCACAUUCUAAUAAAAAUUUGACACUAAGUUGCUCCAAGCUUCUGGAUUCGAUAAGCAAUGCAUUUAGCAAAAUA